AUCAACUUUCGAUGGUAGGAUAGAGGCCUACCAUGGUGGUAACGGGUAACGGGGUGUUAGGGCACGACACCGGAGAGGGAGCCUGAGAAACGGCUACCACAUCCAAGGAUGGCAGCAGGCGCGCAAAUUACCCAAUCCCGACACGGGGAGGUAGUGACAAUAAAUAACAAUACGGGGUUCUUUCGGAUUUCGUAAUUGGAAUGAGUACAAUUUAAAUCUCUUAACGAGGAACAAUUGGAGGGCAAGUCUGGUGCCAGCAGCCGCGGUAAUUCCAGCUCCAAUAGCGUAUAUUAAAGUUGUUGCAGUUAAAAAGCUCGUAGUUGAAUUUCGGGAUCAGUUCGUCGGUCGUGCCUCUGGUAUGUACUGGUGUUACUGGUUCCUCCCUUCUGAAGAACUGUCAUGUCAUUAAUUUGGUGUGGCGGGGAAUCAGGACUGUUACUUUGAAAAAAUUAGAGUGUUUAAAGCAGGCUCGCGCUUGAAUACAUUAGCAUGGAAUAAUGAAAUAGGACGUUCGAUCCUAUUUUGUUGGUUUCUAGGAUUGACGUAAUGAUUAAUAGGGAUAGUUGGGGGCAUUAGUAUUCAAUUGUCAGAGGUGAAAUUCUUGGAUUUAUUGAAGACUAACUACUGCGAAAGCAUUUGCCAAGGAUGUUUUCAUUAAUCAAGAACGAAAGUUAGGGGAUCGAAGACGAUCAGAUACCGUCGUAGUCUUAACCAUAAACUAUGCCGACUAGGGAUCGGAUGAUGUUAAUUUUUUAAUGACUCAUUCGGCGCCUUACGGGAAACCAAAGUGUUUGGGUUC
rnacentral:rRNA from 1 species